UGUUUGAGUGAUUACUGUGUGUCAGAAAUGU
rnacentral:piRNA from 1 species